AUGUACACACCUACAACAUAGAUUUAAUGCACUGGAUCCCAUUAAAACUCCACAAUUAAAUGUACUUAGGAUAGAGUAGUACUGGGAUGGCUGACCGCCCUAGAAGUAAUAGUGUUUUACAUU
rnacentral:rRNA from 1 species